rnacentral:rRNA from 1 species
GUGUACGGCCAGGCUACCCUGAACACUCCCCAUCCCUUCUGAUCUCGGAAGCUAAGCAGGGUCGGGCCUGCUACAGCAUCUAGGAAGACCAGGUGCUGUAGGCA